rnacentral:lncRNA from 1 species
UUUUUUUUUUACAUUAUUUACUCGAAACUUUUACAGAGAGAGAGAGAGAGAGAGGAGGAGGAAAAAAAAGGUUUUCUUUCUACUGCUAACAAUGAAAUUUGAUGGAAUCACACGUGUACGUGUCUCGAUCGCACAUAUCGCUUACUAACCACACCAAAUUGACAUUUAUCUUCUAGAAAAGACGACAGGAACAACACGUCUGUCACGAAAGUCACUAACUGUUGUCACUGCUGAUGAUUGCCUGGAUUAAUGCGGAUAGUGAAGUUUCUAUGGAUAAGGAAGCUCCAUAAUUCUUACUAUUCGUUUAUACGUCAUUUUUUUUUGUUACGUUACCUGUUAAGAAAUGACAAAAGUAAUAUGUUUUUAACAUCACAUAUAUAUAUUAAUAUUAAUAUUUUAAUACCCAUAUAUGAGUGGCUCAGAAGCCAAAGCGGUCAAGUCCAGAAAACAACAAUUGAGAAAAUUAAUGUUUUUUAAAUACAACAUAUUCAGAAGGUAUAAAAAAAAGGGCUAUCUGACCUAGAAAAAACGAAGCAACGAGUAAAUCCUUUAAUAGGUUUACAACGUCUUCAAACGAAAC